CCUACGGGUGGCAGCAGUGGGGGAUAUUGCACAAUGGGGGAAACCCUGAUGCAGCGACGCCGCGUGGGUGAAGAAGCGCCUCGGCGCGUAAAGCCCUGUCAGCAGGGAAGAAAAUGACGGUACCUGAAGAAGAAGCCCCGGCUAACUACGUGCCAGCAGCCGCGGUAAUACGUAGGGGGCAAGCGUUAUCCGGAUUUACUGGGUGUAAAGGGGGCGCAGACGGCGAAGCAAGCCAGGGGUGAAAGCCCGGGGCCCAACCCCGGGACUGGUCUUGGAACUGCGUGGCUAGAGUGCAGGAGGGGCAGGCGGAAUUCCUGGUGUAGCGGUGAAAUGCGUAGAUAUCAGGAGGAACACCGGUGGCGAAGGCGGCCUGCUGGACUGCAACUGACGUUGAGGCCCGAAAGCGUGGGGAGCAAACAGGAUUAGAUACCCCAGUAGUC
rnacentral:rRNA from 1 species